AAAACGACUCUCGGCAAUGGAUAUCUCGGCUCUCGCAUCGAUGAAGAACGUAGCAAACUGCGAUACUUGGUGUGAAUUGCAGAAUCCCGUGAAUCAUCGAGUCUUUGAAAGCAAGUUGCGCCCAAAGCCGUCAGGCCGAGGGCACGCCUGCCUGGGCAUCACGA
rnacentral:rRNA from 1 species